UACGGAAGGCAGCAGUGGGGAAUAUUGCACAAUGGGCGCAAGCCUGAUGCAGCCAUGCCGCGUGUAUGAAGAAGGCCUUCGGGUUGUAAAGUACUUUCAGUCGUGAGGAAGGUGUUAAGGUUAAUAACCUUAGCAAUUGACGUUAGCGACAGAAGAAGCACCGGCUAACUCCGUGCCAGCAGCCGCGGUAAUACGGAGGGUGCGAGCGUUAAUCGGAAUUACUGGGCGUAAAGGGCACGCAGGCGGUUAAUAGUUGGAUGUGAAUCCCCGGGCUUAACCUGGGAAUGGCAUUCAAGACUGGUUAGCUAGAGUCUUGUAGAGGGGGUAGAAUUCCAUGUGUAGCGGUGAAAUGCGUAGAGAUGUGGAGGAAUACCGGUGGCGAAGGCGGCCCCUGGGACAAAGACUGACGCUCAUGUGCGAAAGCGUGGGGAGCAAACAGGAUUAGAUACC
rnacentral:rRNA from 1 species